UACGACUACAUAUCAGGCAUAUCAAUAAGCGGAGGAAAAGAAACUAACAAGGAUUCCCUUAGUAACGGCGAGUGAAGCGGGAAGAGCUCAAAUUUGAAAUCUUCAAGGUUCUACCUUGACGAAUUGUAGUUUAAAGAAGUGUUUUCUGUUAGAUGAGUAGCAAAAGUUCCUUGGAAUGGGACAUCAUAGAGGGUGAGAAUCCCGUAUUUGGUUAUUCAUUCUAGCUUUGUGAUACACUUUCAAAGAGUCGGAUUGUUUGGGAAUGCAGUCCAAAAUGGGUGGUAAAUUUCAUCUAAAGCUAAAUAUUGGCGAGAGACCGAUAGCGAACAAGUACCGUGAGGGAAAGAUGAAAAGAACUUUGAAAAGAGAGUUAAACAGUACGUGAAAUUGUCAAAAGGGAAGCGUUUGACACCAGUGUUGUUUUUCCGAAAAUCAAUUACGAAUGGCUUGAUUUUGUGUUGUAUUGACCUUAUCAGCUUUCUUCACUUUUUUCGAGUCUUUCCUUAAUGCACUUUUCGGUUAACAAGUCAACAUCAAUUUCUUUUGUUGUAAAAGAGUAUUCGGAAGGUGGCUUUCUUUUCGGAGAAAGUGUUUAUAGCCCUAUACUUCUACAAUCGGAGAGAUUGAGGUCUGCAGCGUAGAUCCUUCGGGGUUAGAUACACUUGUGCUAAGUUGUAGCUUUUCAUAGACAACUUGUUGACUAUGUUUAGUCAUGUCGCUUACUCGCUGGUGCUAUUUUACCUACGCUUAGGAUGUUGAGUAGCGACAUACGCAC
rnacentral:rRNA from 1 species